CAACCUACCUAUCAGAGGGGAAUAACCCGGCGAAAGUCGGACUAAUACCGCAUAAAACAGGGGCACCGCAUGGUGAUAUUUGUUAAAGAAAUUCGCUGAUAGAUGGGCAUGCGUUCCAUUAGGUAGUUGGUGAGGUAACGGCUCACCAAGCCGACGGUGGAUAGGGGAACUGAGAGGUUGGUCCCCCACACUGGUACUGAGACACGGACCAGACUCCUACGGGAGGCAGCAGUGAGGAAUAUUGGUCAAUGGGCGGGAGCCUGAACCAGCCAAGUCGCGUGAAGGAAGAAGGAUCUAUGGUUCGUAAACUUCUUUUGCAGGGGAAUAAAGUGCAGGACGUGUCCUGUUUUGUAUGUACCCUGAGAAUAAGGAUCGGCUAACUCCGUGCCAGCAGCCGCGGUAAUACGGAGGAUCCGAGCGUUAUCCGGAUUUAUUGGGUUUAAAGGGUGCGUAGGUGGUUUGAUAAGUCAGCGGUGAAAGUUUGCAGCUUAACUGUAAAAAUGCCGUUGAAACUGUCGGACUUGAGUGUAAAUGAGGUAGGCGGAAUGCGUGGUGUAGCGGUGAAAUGCAUAGAUAUCACGAAGAACUCCGAUUG
rnacentral:rRNA from 1 species